UUGGCCCUACGGGGGGCAGCAGUGGGGGAUAUUGCACAAUGGGGGAAACCCUGAUGCAGCGACGCCGCGUGGGUGAAGAAGCGCCUCGGCGCGUAAAGCCCUGUCAGCAGGGAAGAAAAUGACGGUACCUGAAGAAGAAGCCCCGGCUAACUACGUGCCAGCAGCCGCGGUAAUACGUAGGGGGCAAGCGUUAUCCGGAUUUACUGGGUGUAAAGGGAGCGUAGACGGCAGAGCAAGUCUGAAGUGAAAGCCCGCGGCCCAACUGCGGGACUGCUUUGGAAACUGCCCGGCUAGAGUGCUGGCGA
rnacentral:rRNA from 1 species